rnacentral:rRNA from 1 species
GACAAACUCCGAAAGGAGUCUUCCGCAAGGACACUCGUAGAGGUGCUGCAUGGCUGUCGUCAGCUCGUGUCGUGAGAUGUUGGGUUAAGUCCCGCAACGAGCGCAACCCUUUGUCUUCUGUUGCCAUCAGGUUAUGCUGGGCACUCUGAAGAGACUGCCGGUGAUAAACCGGAGGAAGGUGGGGAUGACGUCAAGUCAGCAUGGCCUUUAUGUCUGGGGCUACACACGUGCUACAAUGGCAGAUACAAACCGUCGCGAGACCGCAAGGUGGAGCUAAUCGGAGAAAGUCUGUCUCAGUUCGGAUAGCAGGCUGCAACUCGCCUGCUUGAAGUUGGAAUCGCUAGUAAUCGCGGAUCAGCACGCCGCGGUGAAUACGUUCCCGGGCCUUGUACACACCGCCCGUCACAUCACGAAAGCCGGUUGUACUAGAAGUCGCCACACUAACCCGCAAGGGAGGGAGGCGCCUAAGGUAUGGUCGGUGAUUGGGGUGAAGUCGUAACAAGGUAGGCGUAGAUGA